rnacentral:rRNA from 1 species
UACGAAGGGGGCUAGCGUUGCUCGGAAUUACUGGGCGUAAAGCGCGCGUAGGCGGAUUUGCAAGUCGGGGGUGAAAGCCCGAGGCUCAACCUCGGAACUGCCCUCGAUACUGCAAAUCUCGAGUCCGAGAGAGGUGAGUGGAAUUCCUAGUGUAGAGGUGAAAUUCGUAGAUAUUAGGAAGAACACCAGUGGCGAAGGCGGCUCACUGGCUCGGUACUGACGCUGAGGCGCGAAAGCGUGGGGAGCAAACAGG